rnacentral:rRNA from 1 species
GACGAACGCUGGCGGCGUGCCUAAUACAUGCAAGUAGAACGCAGUUGCGAACGGGUGAGUAACGCGUAGGUAACUGCCUGGUAGCGGGGGAUAACUAUUGGAAACGAUAGCUAAUACCGCAUACUACCAGAUGGACCUGCGGUGUAUUAACUAGUUGGUGGGGUAACGGCUCACCAAGGCAAAGAUACAUAGCCGAGCUGGAGGGGAGGACGGGCACACUGGGACGUGGCAACGGCCCGAAACCCUACGGGAGGAAACCAGAGGUGAUCUUCGGAAAUGGGGCGAACCCUGACCGAGCCACUCCGCGUGAGUGAAGACGGAUUUCGGAUCGUAAAGCUCAGUUGUUAAGGAAGCGGUACUUAACCAGAAAGGGACGGCUAACUACGUGCCAGCAGCCGCGGUAAUUC